rnacentral:rRNA from 1 species
AGGACGAACGCUGGCGGCGUGCUUAACACAUGCAAGUCAAGGGGGCCCAGCAAUGGGCAACCGGCGAACGGGUGCGUAACACGUGAGCAACCUACCGAAAUGUGGGGGAUAGCCGGCCUAACGGCCGAGUAAUACCGCAUACGCUCUCGAUGAGGCAUUUCAUUGAGAGGAAACCUACGGGACAUUUCGAGGGCUCGCGGCCUAUCAGCUAGUUGGCGAGGUAACGGCUCACCAAGGCAACGACGGGUAGC